rnacentral:rRNA from 1 species
UUGAUCCUGGCUCAGGAUGAACGCUGGCGGCGUGCCUAAUACAUGCAAGUCGAACGGAGCACCUUGGUGCUCAGUGGCGAACGGGUGAGGAGAACAUAGGUAACCUGCCCCUCCGAGGGGGACAACAGCUGGAAACGGCUGCUAAGACCGCAUAGACGCAUUCAGGGCAUCCUGGAUGCGCUAAAUGACCGGAUGGUCAGCGGGGGAUGGACCUAUGCAGUAUUAGCUAGUUGGCGGGGCAACGGCCCACCAAGGCGACGAUACUUAGCCGGCCUGAGAGGGCGGACGGCCACACUGGGACUGAGACACGGCCCAGACUCCUACGGGAGGCAGCAGUAGGGAAUUUUCGGCAAUGGGGGAAACCCUGACCGAGCAACGCCGCGUGAACGAAGAAGGCCUUCGGGUCGUAAAGUUCUGUUGUACGGGAAGAACGUCGGAUGGAGGAAAUGCCAUGCGAGUGACGGUACCGAACAUAGAAAGCCACGGCUAACUACGUGCC